CACCACAAUGAAAAAAUACAAAACUAGAGGUUCCAGACCUCUGGGGUAGAAGUAGAGGGGGUCGGCAUCCCUAGAAGAUCGUCAGCGAUGGCCACGGCAGUCGACGAGGUCCCGACUGGAAGAGGAUCGACGGUGACUCUGGAUGGUCUGGCUUCAUCAUCGGAUGCCUCGUUCAGGAAGCCGAGAUCCAAUUCGGGAAACCUCCCAGCCACCUUCUCUUGGCAG
rnacentral:lncRNA from 1 species